rnacentral:rRNA from 1 species
AACAAAAACAUGUCUAUGUGAAGGUGUACAUAGUUUGGCCUGCUCACUGAUUAAAUUAAAGAGCCGCAGUAUUUUGACUGUGCGAAGGUAGCAUAAUAAAUUGUCUUUUAAAUAAAGGCUUGAAUGAAAGGUUGGACAAAGUAUCAUCUGUUUCUUAAAUAUUUAUUGAAUUUGACUUUUAAGUGAAAAGGCUUAAAUAAUACAAAAAGACGAUAAGACCCUAUAAAUCUUUACAAUAAAUAUAUUUUAUAUUUUAGUUUAUAAGUAAAUAAUAUAAAAAAAUAUAGAUUUGUUACGCUGGGGCGGCGUAGAUAUAUAAAUAAACUGUCUAUAAUUUAAAUACAAUAGUCGUUGUUUACCAAAACUUGAUCCUUAAAUAGAUUAAAAGAUUAAGAUACUUUAGGGAUAACAGCGUUAUUUUUUCUGAGAGUUCUUAUCGAAGAAAAAGUUUGCGACCUCGAUGUUGAAUUAAAGUUUCUCUAUGGUGCAGCCGCUAUAAGAGAGAGUCUGUUCGACUUUUAAUACUUUACAUGAUUUGAGUUCAGACCGGCGUGAGCCAGGUUGGUUUCUAUCUUUUGAUAAAUAUAGAAUUAUUUUAGUACGAAAGGAUUGAAUAAUUAAAAUAUUUUUAUAAUUUGGAAUAUUAAUACCUU